AUUGAACGCUGGCGGCAGGCCUAACACAUGCAAGUCGAGCGAGCGGCGGACGGGUGAGUAAUGUAUGGGGACUGCCCGAUAGAGGGGGAUAACUACUGGAAACGGUGGCUAAUACCGCAUACUAUCGGAUAACCCAUAUGGGAUUAGCUAGUAGGUGGGGUAAAGGCUAACCUAGGCGACGAUCUCUAGCUGGUCUGCGAGGAUGAUUAUCCACACUGGGACUGAGACACUGCCCAGACUCCUACGGAGUCAGCAGUGGGGAAUAGUGCACAAUGGGCGCAAGCCUGAUGCCGCCAUGCCGCUUGUAUGAAGAAGGCCUUAGGUUUGUAAAGUACUUUCAGCUGGGAGGCGUUACCCGCAGAAGAAGCACCGGCUAACUCCGUGCCAGCAGCCGCGGUAAUUC
rnacentral:rRNA from 1 species